AGACAGUGGGUGAAUAUUUCAAGUCUGACUGAUGGUACUGCCAAAGGCAUGAUUAACAUCGUAAUCAAUGGGGAAAAACUGAAAGCUUUUCCUCUAAGACCAGGAACAAGAUAAGGAUUGCCAUUCUUGCCACUCCUAUUCAACACGGUACUGGAAGUCCUAGCUGAGCAACUAGGCAAAAAGAUAAAUAAAAGGCAUCUGAAUUGGAAAGAAAGAAAUAAAAUUACCUCUGUUUGCAGAUGACAUGAGCUUAUAUGUAUACAACUCUAAAAACACCACAAACAUGUUAAAACUAAUAAAUGAAUUCAGAAGAGUUGUAGGACACAAAAUCAACAUACAAAAAUCAGUUAUGUUCUUUAUACCUACAAUGAACUAUCUGAAAAGAAAAUCAAACACAAUCCAACUCACAAUAGCAUCAAAAAGAAAAACAUGGGUGUGAAAGAUCUGUACCCUGAAAGCUACAAAAUAUUAAUGAAAAAAUUGAAGAAGACACAAAUAAAUGGAAAAGUAUUUCCUAUCACAAGUUGGAAGAAUUAAUAUUAUGUACAUAUAACACAAAGCAAUCUAUAGAUUCAACACAAUCCCUGUGAAAAUUCCAGUGGCAUUUUUCACAGAAAUAGAAAAAACAAUUCUAAAAUUCAUAUGGAACAACGAAAGACCCCAAAUAGCCAAAGCAAUCUCGAGAAAGAAGAACAAGUUGGAGGUAUCACA
rnacentral:lncRNA from 1 species